UACAGAGGGGGCAAGCGUUGUUCGGAAUUACUGGGCGUAAAGGGCGCGUAGGCGGCCUGUUAAGUCGAACGUGAAAUCCCCGGGCUCAACCCGGGAACUGCGUCCGAUACUGGCAGGCUUGAAUCCGGGAGAGGGAUGCGGAAUUCCAGGUGUAGCGGUGAAAUGCGUAGAUAUCUGGAGGAACACCGGUGGCGAAGGCGGCAUCCUGGACCGGCAUUGACGCUGAGGCGCGAAAGCCAGGGGCAAACGGG
rnacentral:rRNA from 1 species